UACGUAGGGUGCGAGCGUUAAUCGGAAUUACUGGGCGUAAAGCGUGCGCAGGCGGUUAUAUAAGAACAGUUGUGAAAUCCCCGGGCUUAACCUGGGAACUGCGUUUGAAACUACAAGGCUAGAGUGUGGCAGAGGGGGGGUGGAAUUCCACGUGUAGCAGUGAAAUGCGUAGAGAUGUGGAGGAACACCGAUGGCGAAGGCAGCCCCCCUGGGUCAAGAUUGACGCUCAUGCACGAAAGCGUGGGGGAGCAAACAGG
rnacentral:rRNA from 1 species